AUUUACCAACAACCAACCUUAUCAUGGUAAGGUGUUCUUUGAACCAGCUUUCUUUUAAUUUUUGGAAUUUUCAAAAGAACAUCACCAAUACUAAUUUUAAGUUUAAGUCGUUCGCAUGUUAAUUUUAGCAAACACACUUUCCUUCAAAAUAAUAAUAAUAAUAAUAAUUCUAUUAACAAUUAAAGAAUUUAUCUUAUUUAAUUCUUACUGUUAUCUCUUAAUAAUGCACAAAUCAUUAUAUUUUUCUUGUUUGAAUUUGGAUUUGACUACUUAAUUAGUCCCUUAAACUCGUAGUGGAUAUAUGUUGCCUCCCUUAAUGAUCCAAAAAUAAAGUCUGCUUUCGCAAAGAAACGAGGGAGAGUGGAGUUCUUGCACGAGCUUUUCUUGAAUUGUGCGGACAUUCCAAGAGGUUUGCAAUGCUGUAUCUGUGGAAGCUGCUUCGAUCCCUGAGUAUUAUAUCAACCCUGGUAUUUUACUUCAUUUCAAUAUGGUGAUCCUUGCUAGGGCUGGCACACAAUUGCAAAAGAAGGGCAGGUGAUACUAGAAUCUGGAAAAUAGGAUGACCAUUAUUUAUCAUUUCAUCUUUGAAUUUAGAGUUAAUCUUGUUAGUGCUUGCAUGACCACGUUAGUGACAACAACUCACAGCACAGGCAAUAAGAAAAAAAUAUAUAUAAGAUGCUUAAUUUCCCAAAUUCAAUUUCAACUAAUUAUGUUCUUGAUUGAAUGCUUUCUCUAUCAGGCUUUGGAUUCAUCCAUGAACCUGCAGGAAUCUGAAACAUGGCAAACUUGUUACUAAAAUCAGAUAGCUGCCUCAACCACAUAACGAAAAAGAAGUGUAAUUUGACUUAUUCUUCCUGAAAUUUGCAGGAUUUUUCCUACCUUUCUCUUCUGUAGACCCUUCAAGGCUCCGCCAUGUAAGAAUUUAUGUUGCUUUUAAGUUUUGUCAUGUAGAUUGUAAUUUAUACCUUCAAAAUACUCCUUGCUGUGUAAGAGGAUGUGCUCUUAACUUGUUUAAAUUCCUUAAACAUUAGAAAAUGGAGAGGGAGAAAAAACAGGACGUCUUCUCGCAUGUUGCUUACAAGAAUGCUCAUCUUUAAAAAUUAGGAAAAAACUUGAGACUUUUUUUCUGGGUUUUUAAGAGACCCUUGUGAAAGCAACAAUCUUGCAGGUGCCCUAGUUGAAAGCAGUCAUAUGUAUCAGCCUGUGCCGUGCCGGUAUGUCGUCUAAGAUGUUUACUGGCCGAGCAUGCUCUAACAUGGGUGCUUGAUAGGAGACUAUAAUUGUACUGCCCUGCUUGUUCUCAAUAGGAAAGGAGAAGCUAUCUGAAACUGGAAAGGCUCGCUUCUCUUGUAACCUCAAGUUUCUUUUGCAGUUUUCUUUUAGCAUGCCUCGUUUCUUUUUCUCAUUUCUGGCUUCUUAUUGUCAACUCUGCCUUCAGGCUGAUGCUCAAGACUUUGGUAAUCACUCCAUUCGAACUUUGGUAAAUUACUUUAAUUUGAUUAUGAAUCUUCUCUUGGCUGCUCUUCACAAUUAUCUAGCAUUCCUGUUGAUGGUUCCUGUUGACACAAUCCACAGAAGCUGCUGUUUACAAGGCAUAGAGGAGCAGAUAUUCCAGAAUCCCUAGUGUUGAAAUGAUUAUCUUUCCAGCAAGCUUGCGGCUCCGAUGAAUACUCGUCUGAUAAAAUUCGUCGAUAUGCACAAAUUCAGCUCAAGCUCGUACGCAAGCAAUAAAACUUGAAUGCUUGAAAUUCUAUAGCUUUGUUGUGGAUUGCCAUUUUAAAUUCGUGCAUUUGUUUGACCAAACAAAA